GAGCUCUGUGAGCAGCAUUGGCUGCCUGUGUGUUCCUAGCAGGAUCUGAAGGUACAGGUUUGAACUACAAAAUCUUAAAUGAGUUGAGACCUGGCUAUUUGAGAAAUUGCUUCUCUAUGGAAUGCUGCUGAAGCUGCUAGCAGGAGAAACUUUAAGGCUGGCGCCACCUUGCUUUGAAAGGCUAGGGGUUGUUGGCAAGGUGUUCUCUGCAUGGGGCCCUCAGCAUUGGAAUUCAUUCCCUCACCUUGGUCCAAAGUAGCCCAACUCUAUUAAUCUGCAUGAGCAAAGUCUAUUUCCUCCCACUGGCUUUUGAGAAGGCGAUGCCUCAAGUAAUUUCAGAACACAUUUGUGACACCACGACUAUGGAAAUGGCUAUGAUGUUAGAAAUAAUGGACUAUACCAUCAUGUGGAAGACAGCAACCUAGUAUUGCAGCAGAUUGUUUUAAUUUACACAAAAUGGGUUGUCAACCAGCAAUGGACACCUGUAAACCCAGGCGAUAUGGGAACGGAGCCAGAGAAGGAGGC
rnacentral:lncRNA from 1 species